GAUGAACGCUGGCGGCGUGCCUAACACAUGCAAGUCGAGCGAGAUUAAUGUGAGUGGAGACUUCGGUCAAAGCAAUCAUUAUGAAAGCGGCGGACGGGUGAGUAACGCGUGAGCAAUCUGCCCCAUACAAAGGGAUACCCACUGGAAACGGUGAUUAAUACCUUAUAAGACCACAGAGUCGCAUGGCGCAGGGGUCAAAGAUUUAUCGGUAUGGGAUGAGCUCGCGUCGGAUUAGCUAGUUGGUGAGGUAAUGGCCCACCAAGGCGACGAUCAGUAGCCGACCUGAGAGGGUGAACGGCCACACUGGAACUGAGACACGGUCCAGACUCCUACGGGAGGCAGCAGUGGGGAAUAUUGCACAAUGGGCGCAAGCCUGAUGCAGCAACGCCGCGUGAAUGAUGAAGGCCUUCGGGUCGUAAAGUUCUGUCCAAAGGGAAGAAUACAGUGACGGUACCUUUGGAGGAAGCCCCGGCUAACUACGUGCCAGCAGCCGCCGUAACAC
rnacentral:rRNA from 1 species